rnacentral:rRNA from 1 species
GACAGAGGUGCCAAGCGUUAGGCGGAAUCACUGGGCUUACAGGGUGCGUAGGCGGCUUGUUAAGUAGGGUGUGAAAUCCCCCGGCCCAACCGGGGAAUGGCGCUCUAAACUAGCAGGCUUGAGUGAGCUAGGGGUACACGGAACUUCCAGCGGAGCGGUGAAAUUCGUAGAUAUUCGCAAGAACACCAGUGGCGAAGGCGGCUCACUGGCCCGAUACUGACGCUGAGGCACGAAAGCGUGGGGAGCAAACAGG